rnacentral:rRNA from 1 species
GACCAGCGUUGUCCGGAUUUACUGGGCGUAAAGAGCGCGCAGGCGGUCGUUCAAGUCGAGUGUGAAAGCCCCCGGCUCAACUGGGGAGGGUCAUUCGAUACUGAUUGACUCGAAGGCAGGAGAGGGAAGCGGAAUUCCCGGUGUAGUGGUGAAAUGCGUAGAUAUCGGGAGGAACACCAGUGGCGAAGGCGGCUUCCUGGCCUGUUCUUGACGCUGAGGCGCGAAAGCUAGGGGAGCAAACGGG